UUGGAAAUAAUAAAAACCAAACAGAAAACUAAAAUCUUUUAAAAUUAAAAACUGAACCAAACCAAAUUUUUUAAAACAUAAGCCAAAUAAUUUGAAUUACAAUGCUUUGGUUUAGUUUUUCAUUAAACCAAAUAAGGAUCACCCUACUUUUUAUUGUUUUCUUUUGCGGACAUGCUACAAACUUUGACUUGGUCAUGCUGUAAUUUCUCCUCCUAAGUUUCAUGGUGCCUCCUUUCAAAUGCCAUAAGUUGCCUCAAUUUAGUACAAGCAAAAGUACACACAACCAGUUUUUCCAAUCAAAGUUCAUUUUCCUUUUCUUUUUAUAUUAUCCCUUACACAGUUCCCAGUUUCCACAUACUAGGGCCAUUCCUUCACAAUAAGAUUGAAUUAAAGUGAGACAAAAUACAGGACAUGAGAAGUUAAAUUAAUUUGUUUUCAUAGUUGUUAAAGUUGCACUAGAACCUCAAUCCAACACCUCUAGACCUCUACAAGGGUGAGGCAGGUGACAUCACAAAAUUCGUGUGCUUGCACACCUGUUGUAAGGCAGCUGGUGCAAGAAGGCCACCACCACUAGACUUGUAGCUUCCAAUCUGCCAGAAUCAGCAUCAACAGCCUGAAGAAUCACCUAAAUACAUAGCUGUUGAUGGGAUAUAACAAGACCACCAUCCCCAGAGUACCAACGAGUGAUGUUACCCUUCCAUCAUUCAAGCACCUCAAUUUUCUCUAUUCACACCUUAUUCUAGUUCCCAUUUAUAUCUCCUCUGUACUACAACCUAUUGGUUAUCGUAAGAUUCAUUAGAGCUCUCUCCGCGCCCCCAAAAAGAAAGGAGCAUUAUAUGGAUCACCUUAUGUUAUUGCCUUCAAGAAAACAGCCAAAUGCUAUUGCAGUCUCAUACAACCAAACUCUUGAUGUUUUCUGUUUCUCACUUCACUAUCCUACAUCUAUAUACAGGUCUCUAAAUGAAAAUUAAAACUUCUAAUCAGAUGGAUAACUUACAUAAGCUAAUGAGAGAUCCAUUUCUUCGAUUAUAAAUUUCUUGGAAAACCAUAAGAAUGAAUGCCUAUAAUAAACAAAAUUUUAUAAAACCAUAGGAAUGAAUGCUUAUGAUAAACAAAAUUUUAUAAAUGGAAAGAAAACAUUAUAGCGGAGGAUAGGCACUCAUCAUAAGCAAAAUAAGACACUGUUAAGAGUUGCAAUUUGUUUGUUAACGUGUACAAUCAUAACCAAAUACUAUCUCUCCAAAGCAA
rnacentral:misc_RNA from 1 species